UCCAGACUGAGAGAGCUUGACGGGUCUAAAAUAUAGUAAAUGAAAAGCUUGAUUCUGAAUAAUUCUGAAUUUGACUCCUUUGUGAUUAAGACACACUCUGGAAUCCUUGAUGAGGAUCUGAGUUUUCUAUGAUAGUGAGGAUUGACAAUGUUCAUUCCUCAGUCUGGGUGAGUACAUUGUGUUUACUGAGAAGAAUGUCCUUGUUUGCAGGAAAUACUGAAAAUUUUCAGAGCCAUGAGCCCUGCUUUUGCUAACCACUCUUGAGUGGUUAGAAGAAGCCACUGUACUUUGAGCUUUUCUGUAAGUUUGAGAAAAUAGGAAAAGAGAAGACAGAUAAGGCACAAUUUAACUACAGAAGAUAAACAUGAUAGAUGAGCUAUGAUCAAGGAAAAGUAAGAGUGAUUAUUUGGGUCAUGGAGAAAAUUAGAGACAAACAUUGCAGAAUUUCCAAAGAGAUAGAUGGUUUUAUUGGGUAAUCGGUCAAUCCCAGGAGGCUGGCUGCUUUAGAACAAUGCUCUUGAUCAGGUAGGUGGGGAGUGGGGGAACUGUAAUAAUGAGUGAAGGAAGGGAAGGCCCUUAUGUCUCUGGUGCCCUUUCUUCUCUGAGAGAUACAGCACAAUAACAAAGUCAUUGGAAAUGUGGAAGAAAGCAGGUUUCUUUCAGAGCAGAAAGGGAAGCUGUGACAUGUUUGGAGAGAAGUCAUUAAUCAGAGACCAGGACUUUAAAAGUUUCUCAAUAAAAGUCUGUCCCCAAAAGCAUAACCCCCCCCAAAAAAAAACCCCACACCAUUCUAUCUGGCAAAAUAGCAGGACAUCAGAAUGGUAAGGUCAACACAAUUAGCUGCAACCUGAGAUCACAAACCUACCCUCCUUUUUUUAUCCAACCAGCAAUGGGGCACACACAGACGGGCUCAUUGCAAUGAAUGAGGACUUUUCCAACAUGGAGAGCCCUGCAUCCCAUAGCCUCAUGUUCCGUUUGGUUCUUGUUGCUGUGUCUACUGCUUCACUCCUUACACUGUACUAAAUAAACUUGUUUUAGAAUAAAACAUCCAAAUGGUGAGUCCUUCCACUGACCUACCAAAAUCUCCUGCUAAAACAAAGAAUAAAACAUCCAAAUGGUGAGUCCUUCCACUGACCUACCAAAAUCUCCUGCUAAAACAAAGAAUGCCAAGCUCUAUGUCUUAUUUUGUUUUUGACCAUAUUUAAGAUGAGACAAUAGCUUUAAGAUACUUAAAUUUUGAUUAUGUUAUACAGGAUAAUUUCUUUUCCCUUUGGAAGCAGACAUGAUUUAUUUAGACACAAGAAUCACAGUGUCUCCUACUCCAAUAUAAUUAGAUGUCAUCUAAUGAGGCAAAUAGAACAAAAUGUAAGUAACUUGUGAAUUUUGGAAAGUUUGUAUUGUGGUCUCCUGCAAUAUUUCAAUAUGGUUUACAUUUUGUUUAAAAAUACGAAUAAAUACUGGAUAAAUCUAGCAAGGAUGUAGAGAUAGGAGAUUCGUGUACACGAUUGCCAGGAAAGUAAAUUGAUAACUGUGGAGUUUCUUCAAACCAUAAAAAUAGAGCUAGUUGAGUCAGUUACAUCAUUUCUGGGUAUAUCCCUGAAAGAACAUAUCAGCAUACUACAGGAAUGCUUGCAUGCCUACUGCUACAGUGCUCACAAUAGCUAAGAUAUAAAACCAUCUUAGAAGUCCAUCUACAGCUAGAGAGAAAAUGAACUUGUUUGAGUAGAGAGAUGAGGGAGCUGUGAGGAGUUGGGUGAGUGGGACCUAUGAUCAAAAUAUAAUAUAUGAAAAUUUUCAAUUGAAAAAAUUAAUAUUGGGGUUGGGGAUUUAGCUCAGCGGUAGAGUGCUUGCCUAGCAAGUGCAAGGCCCUGGGUUCGGUCUCCAGCUCUGAAAAAAAAAAGAAAAAAUUAAUAUUGAUGCUAUAUGUAUAAAAUAUAAUGAAACUGUAUGCUCCCAAAGAAUUAAUUAAAAAAGAAAAAUAUGAUACAAUUCAGAAAUUCCUUAUUUUUUUACCUCCUUCGUGGAUAGUUAAGGACAUUUGAUUGGAUGAAACCUGAUGCACAACAUCUUCAGAAAAUUUCUCAAGGAAGGGAAGGAAAAACACCUGGGAGGCAGGCUCUGGGGAUCCCAAAAUGUCAACAACCAAGACAAAUAAAAAUCCCUAUUUUUAAUAAAAUCCCCUGAUAUCUAUUUGUGACAUGACUCUUCUGGUUCCCUUGAGAUAACCAGGGAAAUGUGGAGAAAGGAGACCCAGGUGGUUAGGUUAGACAGCAUUGAGUCCUUUGAAGAUUUCCUCCUGAUCUCUGAACUCAUAGACUCUUCCUCUUCUACUCGCAUCACUUUCAGAGCCUGGGAAAGAACUGAGUAUGUUGUGCCAUACACUGCUACUUCUCUAACUGCAGUCCUAUUUGGAUCUGGAGAGAGCUAUAUUACAUCUCACUGAGAAUUCUAGACCCUUCACCCAGCGAGUACUUAUUGAGUGCUACUUUGAGUUGGAUGCGGAAAUCUUCGCAUGUAUUUGGAGAGCUUACACUCUGACUUGAACUGGGGCUACCACCCAGGAGACAACAGACAACACUGCGCAAAGCAGUGGGAACUAAACUCCCAUAAGGAAACCACAUUUGCUGUGAAUUCAUGAGAGCAGCUUAUACUGAAGACACUGUUUAACCCCAAUCCUCCCUGAUCACUGGCUCUGACAAUAUUCCUAUCUGCUCUCCUGUGAUGGUCCCUGAGCUUUGUGAAGGGCGUGUGAUGUAGAUGUCCUGUUUGUCAGUUGAACAAUCCGCAGUCCCUAGUUCUUUACACUUAGAUUUGUUGAGAAUUUCUGUGUUGAUCAUUAUGCAGUGCAUAAGCUCUGUCUGUUUGUUGGCUCUCCUACGACUAGAAGGUGAGGUGCUAUACAGUCUGCUGGGGAGACUCAUUGGCAGUCUUAUCCAGUUGAGAGCUCCAGUACACUUUUGAAAGACUUUGUAGUGAGUGAUAUAAGUAUUUCUUCCUUGCACAAAUAUAAAAUAAAUUUCAUUUUCCUUCUUUAGA